UAUAUAGUGCCUGAUAAAAGGAUAGUUUUGAUAGAACUAGUCAUGUAAAUUAAUUACCUAUAUAA
rnacentral:tRNA from 1 species